ACAAUAUUAUUUACAAAAUAAUUCAGUUUUUCUCUGUUUAACUUGGCAGAGUGCAGGUUGCCCAUGUUUCGGAAUGUCUGUUUGAACAUUUCACUAUACGUUUAUAUUUCAUGUCAGUGGUGCUCAUUGGCCGUGAUCUUCUUAUUAUGGUGACCUUAUGGGCCGGCAUAACAUUGACGGAUUGCGGGCAGAUUCGUCGGACUUAUUUUCAUUAUUUUAGGAUUUAAUAAAAAAUUGUCAAUAUCAAUAUUUUUCUUUAAUUUGAAUAAUUACACUUUCAUUUAUGCAAAAUAUAGUCAUUUGAUUAUUUGAAAGCGUCACGCUUAGGUGGUGGCCUUCUGUGGAUUUUUUGACACUGUCAUUUUUUGAGUUCCGGUGAAUCUACAUUUGAGUUUCUUUAUUAAAGAUACCACGUUAAGCUUUCUUUGUGAUCUGAACAGCCGACCGUUCAAGUUGGCUUAGGCCAUAUUUAGUGCCGGCCAGUAUUUUUGAGGUUCUUUUUAAAUUAAGAAGGGGUAAUCCACAGCCAAGGUCAUCGGCUGCUAUAUUCAGGCAGUAUUUAAUCUGCCAUUAUUAUAAGCUGCUUAUUUGAACUGUACUGAAUUUACCUUACACUGAGGCUGACUUUGAGUUACCUAAAAGUACAAAGGGGGCAAGCGAGUAAUACCAAGUAGGUUCCACACCACCAGGAAAAGGUACCAAUAAAUUGUGAUAUCUUUUAUUUUAUGCAAAUUUAUUUAUCUCACUGUCCCUACACUCGGAGGUAUGUUAGUGGGUUUACCUUACGAAUCGUGUGUGGCGCCCAAUGAACCACCUUUUUAGACCCACACCCUACCAAAACAAUGGUAACCCUUGGGGGCCAACCGUAAACCCCCCAAGCCAAUCCGUACAAGCUAGCCAACGGGUCUCAGCAAGGCUUAGUAUUUAUAUGGUGUAACCAAAGGUAACAUCAUAUGUUUUUCGUCAAGUGCCUCGAGACAAUGUGGAAAAUUCCAAAGCACAUUAAAUGAAUCCGCUAUGCCUAACCAUUAUCUAGUGGAAUUGAAUAAAGACCAAUUUAAGUAAUUUUAAUAUUUAUACGUACUUAUUCAAAUUUACUUGUAAUAAUAAUAUAAUAUUAAGAUCAACUUUUUAAAUCUGCAUUGGAGAAUCUGCAAAAGAAGAGUUCAGGCAAUAUGUUGCUAUGGAAUUAAGAGAACUACGCAGUUACUUUUUAAGAGAAGAUUUAAGACUGAAAUUCGCAAAGCUAUUUCUUGCACAGUAAAGGAGGAAGAGAUACAGUACAGUUCAUCAGCCUUUAAUCUGUCUACUCUCAUGCCAUCUCCUAUUUACGUAGUACCCCAAGAGGCUAAUACCACUUCAUUUUCAUUAAUAUACCCUUCCUACACUAGGUUAAUGUAGAUAUCUUUUAUUAAAAUAAAAAUAUGUAUGUUUACCUUUA